UGGGGAAUAUUGGACAAUGGGCGAAAGCCUGAUCCAGCCAUGCCGCGUGAGUGAUGAAGGCCUUAGGGUUGUAAAGCUCUUUUAUCCGGGAAGAUAAUGACUGUACCGGAAGAAUAAGCCCCGGCUAACUUCGUGCCAGCAGCCGCGGUAAUACGAAGGGGGCUAGCGUUGCUCGGAAUCACUGGGCGUAAAGGGCGCGUAGGCGGAUGAUUAAGUCGGAGGUGAAAGCCCAGGGCUCAACCCUGGAAUUGCCUUCGAUACUGAUCGUCUCGAGAAUGGAAGAGGUAAGUGGAAUACCGAGUGUAGAGGUGAAAUUCGUAGAUAUUCGGUGGAACACCAGUGGCGAAGGCGACUUACUGGUCCAUUUCUGACGCUGAGGCGCGAAAGCGUGGGGAUCAAACAGG
rnacentral:rRNA from 2 species